rnacentral:pre_miRNA from 1 species
AGUGAGAUAACUGGGCCAUAUGGUGGUUCCAUUCCCAGUUUUCUGAGGAAUCUCCACACUGCUUUCCAGAGUGGUUGCACCAAUGUGCAGUCCCACCAGCAAU